rnacentral:rRNA from 1 species
GAUGAACGCUGGCGGCGUGCCUAAUACAUGCAAGUCGAGCGAACAGACGAGGAUCUUUCUCCUCUGACGUUAGCGGCGGACGGGUGAGUAACACGUGGAUAACCUACCUAUAAGACUGGUAUGACUUCGGGAAACCGGAGCUAAUACCGGAUAAUAUAUUGCACCUCAUGGUUCAAUAGUGAAAUACGGUUUUGCUGUCACUUAUAGAUGGAUCCGCGCCGCAUUAGCUAGUUGGUAAGGUAACUGCUUACCAACGCAACGAUGCGUAGCCGACCUGAGAGGGUGGUCGGCCACCCUGGAACUGAGACACGGUCCAGACUCCGACGGGAGGCAGCAGUAGGGAAUCUUCCGCAAUGGGCGAAUGCUUGACGGAGCAAAGCCGCGUGAGUCAUGAAGGUCUUCGGAUCGUAAAACUCUGUUAUUAGGGAAGAACAAAUGUGUAAGUAACUAUGCACGUAUUGACGGUACCUAAUCAGAAAGCCACGGCUAACUACGUG